rnacentral:rRNA from 1 species
GACGAACGCUGGCGGCGUGCUUAACACAUGCAAGUCGAGCGGUAAGGCCCUUUCGGGGGUACACGAGCGGCGAACGGGUGAGUAACACGUGGGUGACCUGCCCUCAGCUCUGGGAUAAGCCUGGGAAACUGGGUCUAAUACCGGAUAUGACUCCAUGACGCAUGUUGUGGGGUGGAAAGCCUUGUGCGGCUGAGGAUGGGCCCGCGGCCUAUCAGCUUGUUGGUGGGGUGAGGCCUACCAAGGCGACGACGGGUAGCCGGCCUGAGAGGGCGACCGGCCACACUGGGACUGAGACACGGCCCAGACUCCUACGGGAGGCAGCAGUGGGGAAUCUUGCGCAAUGGGCGAAAGCCUGACGCAGCGACGCCGCGUG